AAAAAACCCUCCACCUGACCCCUGUCUGAACAAAUAAUGAAUCUCCAGAAAAAGCAGCUCGCUGAUGGGUCCAGGCUGUGCCUGUGGAUUUAUGAGGUGACAUCAGUUUGAAGACGAGGUGCAGGGCCCGAGCUGCGGGUGACACACUCCUGGAUUGUUUUAACGGGCCAGCUCCUGAAGGACACCAAAUCCCUCCCCCAGCUGAGUGUUAUUAAAGUGGCAAAGAUGGAGAGGAGAGCUUUCCCAGAUAAAUCAGCUUACUUGCUCUGGGCUCACUUCCCAUUACCCCGCCUACUGGAAAGUGCUCCCCGGGGGAAGGAAACGAAGGGCUGAGAAGCACUUGCAGGUUCUGAGGAUUGAACUAAGAUCUACAUGUUUCAAAGGCAAUCACUGUAUCAACUGAGCCAUCUUCCCCAAACCCUAACAGAACUUCAGAUACCGUUUGAAAUGCAGAUUUCCAGUCCAGCUAAGGCACAUGAAGCCAGAACAAGCUCUCUGGGCAACAAGGUGACAAACUGAUCAAGUUAUCACAUUGGCAGCACCAUGUGUAGGAAGCCCUUGAGUCUUGGAACAGCUGAUCACCCUACCCAACAAAAUCCUGACUGGAGCCCACCUGGGCAAUGAACUCUUGGGGAAUGCAGCAAAUCCACCAGGCUGGUAAUCUCCAGGAAGCCUCAAGCUAUGAACCCACAGCUUCCAACAAUGGUCUCUCUGGUUCUCCGUUCAGGGAUACCCCUGACACAUGCAUGGUAUCAACAGCUUUCCUUAGUUGUGGAGGAAUGUUCCAUAACUCCUUUCUUCUGUCCUUGACUCUAAAGCCAGAACCACGUGGCCAAAGCUGCUAAGUUCUGUUGCUUGAUGGGGCUGGAGCAUGCCCGUGCCCCUCUUGUUUAAUUAUAUCUUCACCAGC